UACGAAGGGGGCUAGCGUUGCUCGGAAUCACUGGGCGUAAAGCGCACGUAGGCGGAUCUUUUAAGUCAGGGGUGAAAUCCUGGAGCUCAACUCCAGAACUGCCUUUGAUACUGGGGAUCUCGAGUCCGGAAGAGGUGAGUGGAACUCCGAGUGUAGAGGUGAAAUUCGUAGAUAUUCGGAAGAACACCAGUGGCGAAGGCGGCUCACUGGUCCGGUACUGACGCUGAGGUGCGAAAGCGUGGGGAGCAAACAGG
rnacentral:rRNA from 1 species